ACACACACACACACACACACACACACACACACACACACACACACACACACACACACACACACACAGAGUAAGCCCAGUUUGCCCUCAGAUAAACAGUGUUUGUAGGGUGACCGGCUAGAUGGAGGUCCCAGACCACCAGCAGACGCUGUCAUCCAAAACUACACAAGGGGGAUGUGAACAUGUAGGUGCUGAUUGGACAGAGGUUAUGGGAGGGGCAGCUGAUUGAACAGAGGUUAUGGGAGGGGCAGCUGAUUGAACAGAGGUUAUGGGAGGGGCAUCUGAUUG